UACAGAGGGUGCAAGCGUUAAUCGGAAUUACUGGGCGUAAAGCGUGCGUAGACGGUUGCGUAAGUCAGAUGUGAAAGCCCCGGGCUCAACCUGGGAAUGGCAUUUGGGACUGCAAGGCUGGAGUUUGGCAGAGGAGACUGGAAUUCCUGGUGUAGCAGUGAAAUGCGUAGAUAUCAGGAGGAAUACCGAUGGCGAAGGCAGGUCUCUGGGCUAUAACUGACGCUCAUGCACGAAAGCGUGGGGAGCAAACAGG
rnacentral:rRNA from 1 species